AGAGUUUGAUCCUGGCUCAGAGCGAACGCUGGCGGCAGGCCUAAAACAUGCAAGUCGAACGCCGUAGCAAUACGGAGUGGCAGACGGGUGAGUAACACGUGGGAACGUGCCUUUUGGUUCGGAACAACACAGGGAAACUUGUGCUAAUACCGAAUAAGCCCUUACGGGGAAAGAUUUAUCGCCAAAAGAUCGGCCCGCGUCUGAUUAGCUAGUUGGUGGGGUAACGGCCCACCAAGGCUACGAUCAGUAGCUGGUCUGAGAGGAUGAUCAGCCACACUGGGACUGAGACACGGCCCAGACUCCUACGGGAGGCAGCAGUUAGGAAUCUUGGACAAUGGGCGCAAGCCUGAUCCAGCCAUGCCGCGUGAGUGAUGAAGGCCUUAGGGUUGUAAA
rnacentral:rRNA from 1 species